rnacentral:rRNA from 1 species
CCCUACGGGAGGCAGCAGUGAGGAAUAUUGGUCAAUGGGCGGGAGCCUGAACCAGCCAAGUCGCGUGAGGGAAGAAGGUACUGAGUAUUGUAAACCUCUUUUGCCAGGGGACAAAGGCGGCCACGGGUGGCCGUAAGAGGGUACCUGGAGAAAAAGCAUCGGCUAACUCCGUGCCAGCAGCCGCGGUAAUACGUAGGUGGCAAGCGUUGUCCGGAUUUACUGGGUGUAAAGGGCGUGCAGCCGGAGAGACAAGUCAGAUGUGAAAUCCACGGGCUCAACCCGUGAACUGCAUUUGAAACUGUUUC